UCUACCCAUGUCUUCCACCAACGAAACCUCCCAGACACAGAGGGAUCUCCCUAUAACACAGUAAAAUACAGGCAGGUAGGGAAAUGGAUCGGAGAGCUAACUAACGGCUCAUGAGCAAGCACCCUAAAAAAGACGGAGUUAGGAUGUUGGAAAAGGCUGGAAUUAAAUGGGACAUAAAAGUUAGGAGAUGGACCAGGAGUAACCGGGCACAUAGAAAGCUGAUAGCUGGCUUCAAUGUCACUAUAUAGUCAAGGAUUACCACCUCACGAUUGCUGGCAUGACAAGCGUGAGUCAACAUGUCAUGUUUAUGUAGUGCCAAGGGCUGAAACCAGAAUUUCACACAUGUGAGAGUCAAAGAGAAGAGCUUACUUAGCACCUCGUAAAGAGAGAACCUUCCCAGCCUUCCCUGUCCGAACGCCAAGCUCAAUGUCAAACUCAGCGUUUGAGAGCACACCCAAGAG